AUUGAACGCUGGCGGCAGGCUUAACACAUGCAAGUCGAACGAGUGGCGGACGGGUGAGUAAUGCUUGGGAAUCUAGCUUAUGGAGGGGUAUCACUACGGUAAACUUUAGCUAAUACCGCUUACCAUAGGAUCAGCCCAAGUGGGAUGAGGUAGUUGGUGAGGGAAAGGCGCACCAAGCCGACGAUCUCUAGCUGGUCUGAGAGGAUGACCAGCCACACUGGGACUGAGACACGGCCCAGACUCCGACGUGAGGCAGCAGUGGGGAAUAUUGCGCAAUGGGGGCAACCUGACGCAGCCAUGCCGCGUGAGUGAAGAAGGCCUUCGGGUUGUAAAGUUCUUUCGGUAGAGAGGCGUUAACUAAAGAAGAAGCACCGGCUAACUCCGUGCCAGCAGCCGCGGUAAUUC
rnacentral:rRNA from 1 species